UACAGAGGGUGCGAGCGUUAAUCGGAAUUACUGGGCGUAAAGCGCGCGUAGGCGGCUUUGCAAGUCGGGUGUGAAAUCCCCAGGCUUAACCUGGGAACUGCAUUCGAGACUGCAUUGCUAGAGUAUGGGAGAGGGAAGUGGAAUUUCCGGUGUAGCGGUGAAAUGCGUAGAGAUGUGGAGGAACACCGAUGGCGAAGGCAGCCCCCUGGGUCAAGAUUGACGCUCAUGCACGAAAGCGUGGGGAGCAAACAGG
rnacentral:rRNA from 1 species